rnacentral:lncRNA from 1 species
UGGCUUUAAGAGAUGCACGCACGGGACUCGUGCAAUGAGGAAAUUCGAGCGAUCUUUUUGUAGAACAUUCUGGAGGGGUGUUGGAGGUAUAACUAUCUUUGGAUCCAAAAGAAUGAUGAGAAAGGACAAGGGUUUUGCGUAUAUACUUAUUUUGCUGCUUCGAAAUGGUCUUGGUGUCCUCUCAAAAAUAAAUGGUCUUUGGAUAGGAGUAUGGGAUGAAAAGGUGAUGGGAGUGGAAGCAACGAGAGGAAGGGAAGUGUCGCAAAAACACUAGUGGUGCG